AGAGUUUGAUCCUGGCUCAGAAUGAACGUUGGCGGCGUGGAUUAGGCAUGCAAGUCGUACGCUUUAUGUAGCAAUACAUGAAGAGUGGCGUAAGGGAGAGUAAUGCAUGGUUAGCUACCCUCGGGACUGGGAUAGCGGCGGGAAACUGCCGGUAAUACCAGAUGAUAUCUUCGGAUCAAACGUGUAAAUCGGCCCGAGGAGGUGACCAUGUCCUAUCAGCUAGUUGGCGGUGUAACGGACCACCAAGGCUAAGACGGGUAUGGGGCGUGAGAGCGUGCCCCCACUCACUGGGACUGAGACACUGCCCAGACACCUACGGGUGGCUGCAGUCGAGAAUCUUCGGCAAUGGGCGCAAGCCUGACCGAGCGACGCCGCGUGCGGGAUGAAGGCCUUCGGGUUGUAAACCGCUGUCGUAGGGGAGGAAGGCUCCGUGCAGAACGGAGUUUGACCGAUCCUAGGAGGAAGGGCCGGCUAAUCUCGUGCCAGCAGCCGCGGUAAUUC
rnacentral:rRNA from 1 species